rnacentral:rRNA from 1 species
UUGCAUAUCAAAAAGCGGAGGAAAAGAAACCAACAGGGAUUGCUCUAGUAACGGCGAGUGAAGCGGCAACAGCUCAAAUUUGAAAUCUGGCUCUUUCAGAGUCCGAGUUGUAAUUUGCAGAGGGCGCUUUGGCUUUGGCAGCGGUCCAAGUUCCUUGGAACAGGACGUCACAGAGGGUGAGAAUCCCGUACGUGGUCGCUAGCUAUUGCCGUGUAAAGCCCCUUCGACGAGUCGAGUUGUUUGGGAAUGCAGCUCUAAAUGGGAGGUAAAUUUCUUCUAAAGCUAAAUAUUGGCCAGAGACCGAUAGCGCACAAGUAGAGUGAUCGAAAGAUGAAAAGCACUUUGGAAAGAGAGUCAAACAGCACGUGAAAUUGUUGAAAGGGAAGCGCUUGCAGCCAGACUUGCUUGCAGUUGCUCAUCCGGGCUUUUGCCCGGUGCACUCUUCUGUAGGCAGGCCAGCAUCAGUUUGGGCGGUGGGAUAAAGGUCUCUGUCACGUACCUCUCUUCGGGGAGGCCUUAUAGGGGAGACGACAUACCACCAGCCUAGACUGAGGUCCGCGCAUCUGCUAGGAUGCUGGCGUAAUGGCUGUAAGCGGCCCGUCUUGAACCACGGACCAC